UUAGGAAAAGAAGAACUGCUUGCCCUCACUGAGAACAAAGUUCGGUAAUGAGAACAUCGCUCUCUUAA